rnacentral:rRNA from 1 species
ACGGAAGGCAGCAGUGAGGAAUAUUGGUCAAUGGACGCAAGUCUGAACCAGCCAUGCCGCGUGCAGGAAUAAGGCCCUAUGGGUCGUAAACUGCUUUUGUGGUGGAGCAAUAAGUCGUACGUGUACGGCGAUGAGAGUACAUCAUGAAUAAGCAUCGGCUAACUCCGUGCCAGCAGCCGCGGUAAUACGGAGGAUGCAAGCGUUAUCCGGAUUUAUUGGGUUUAAAGGGUGCGUAGGCUGUGGUCCAAGUCAGGGGUGAAAGCCCGGAGCUCAACUCCGGAACUGCCUUUGAUACUGGAUUGCUGGAAUACGGAUGCCGUGGGAGGAAUGAGUAGUGUAGCGGUGAAAUGCAUAGAUAUUACUCAGAACACCGAUUGCGAAGGCAUCUCACGAAUCCGUCAUUGACGCUGAGGCACGAAAGCGUGGGGAUCAAACAGGAUUAGAUACCCUGGUA